CCCGGUUUCAAUCCUGUCUCUCUGAAGACUACUCCCAAAUUCUCAACUGCUGCUGCUGCUGCUGCUGCCGCCGCUCCUUCCUCCUCCUCCUCCUUCUCGGCGAUUCCUCUCCGCAAUUCCUCCCCCCUCUUCGUCGGCGCCGGCGCGGACGACGGGGCACAGCCGAGAACCCAGGCUGCCAGGACCAGCGGCCACUCCAAGCUUGCUUCUUGGUAAGGGAAGGAACCCUAGCUUGCUUCGCCGAUUGAUUGAUUCGGUUCGAUUCGCCAGGAAGUUCCUUGCUCGUCUCAUCCUCCGCUCAGUUCAUAAUUCGAUUCGAUUUGAGUAGGUGCUUCUUCUACUUCAGCGCAGCGCGAGAUCCAUCUGAGCCGAGGUGAGCUUAGCUGCCCCCAUUGGACUGAACUUCAGGGGGAGAUAUGGACAAUACUCAAUUCGCCAUGAUUGAGGAGCUGGCCUCGCUCAUCAAGGACAACCUCUACAGCAAGCACCUCGUCCUCUCCACCGAGGAGACACUCGUCACUCUGCUGCAGCAACAGUACCACGAUGGCGACGAUGACGAGGAACAUGACCGCGCCGUGACCGAAACGCGUCACAGGGCAGCUAUGAAUACCAUAGAGCUCCAGCCCACCAGCUCCUACAACCGCCUCCUUUUGCAUCGUCUCGCCGACAUAUAUGGGUUCGCUCACGAAUCUGUUGGCGAGGGCGAGGAUCGACAUUUGGUUCUCCAGCGCUGCCCUGAGACAGCAAUCCCUCCCGUCCUUGUCAGCGAUGUGUUGUGGAAUUAUGACGACAGCGAUGGUCCUUCAGCCUCUCUUAUGCUAGCGAGAAAUGAGACAGAUCUUCAGAGAACUCAUGAACCAGAAGAUGUCCAAGACGCUAUUUCUCUUGAAAGCUUGCAUCUGAAAACUGAUACACUAGUUUCGAAGCCUUUGCCGCAGUUGGUGCCACCUUCAGCAGCAUCGCUUAAGGAGAGGGAAGCUGCUUAUCGGGCUGCUCGUGAGCGAAUCUUCUCUUCACAUGAAGCCAAGGGAAACGACACAUCAGCAGCAAAAUCUAGGCAUGUUCCUGCUGUUGCUCAACGGAUGAUCGCACACGCACUUGGUAAGAGAGUUGAAGAUCCAACAGAGAGAGCUGCCUUGGAGACAGUCAAAGGGAAGGAACAGCUGGUAAAUGGACGAACUAGUCCCACGAGUAAAGAAGCAGUUAAACACAACUCAAGCUCACCUGGUGGUGGUCCGCAUCGGAACCCAUCUACUCGAAGCCGUCCUACACCUACUGCUAGCGCCGAGACGCUGAAGAAAGAGCAGACUGGAGCGGCUAAAAGGAUGUUUGCACAUGCGUUGCGGCUCCCCGGUGUUGAAAUACCCAAUGGCGCAGCACGAAAACCCAAGUAAGAAGGGCUAGCUGGAGAUGAAUGAAAUUCCGAGAAUGCAUGGGCCUUGGGGUUGCCUUGACUGCCGUGCCCCGCGCGAUGGAGCUGGAAGCCCUUGCGGUGCCAGCCUGCUCUUAUGGAGUGCCACUUGUGAUGGAUGUUAGAAGCAGAUGAAAGGGUUGGCUGUUGAAGUCAGUCGGUGUGAGACAAUGCACCGUAACCUUUUUUUGCCUCCCUUGACUAGAGUUGAUUCGAAGAAAACCCGAGGGCGCGCGGCGAGAAGGCUGAAUCCAGAGUGGCCGUUCCCUGUUACGUAGAAUUGUGCUAGUAAGUACGUACGUAGUAGCGUUGGUUGCUUGCCAACAGAAAGAAAUGUUCUUGUUAGCGCCUACCCCAUUCUAGCAAGUGUUUUUGGCUCUUCAACCUUCUGUGUCGUUCGUAGCUUAUAUAUAACCACUUAGUGUAUUGCACUAUCUCAGUUUGGUUUUGAAGGGCUUGGUUCCCAAACAAAGUUUUAUGGUUGGUCCGUUGGU
rnacentral:rRNA from 1 species